UACGGAGGAUCCAAGCGUUUAUCCGGAUUUAUUGGGUUUAAAGGGUGCGUAGGCGGCCUAUUAAGUCAGAGGUGAAAGACGGUAGCUCAACUAUCGCAGUGCCUUUGAUACUGAUGGGCUUGAAUGAACUAGAGGUAGGCGGAAUGAGACAAGUAGCGGUGAAAUGCAUAGAUAUGUCUCAGAACACCGAUUGCGAAGGCAGCUUACUAUGGUUUAUUGACGCUGAGGCACGAAAGCGUGGGGAUCAAACAGG
rnacentral:rRNA from 1 species